UGGUGAAUGGCCAAGUAAACAAACGGGCGGAAUUAUUUGAGCAACUCCGGCUUCCCACUAAAUUGGCUAUAAUUCAGCAAAUAAAUAAGAUACAAUUAUAAUUACUUUAUAAUGGCCGAUAAACCAUCCACCGGGGAAGCCCCCAAGCCCGUCCUGCUGACAGCAGCUGCCAAAAAGGCAAUGCCCGAAACAUAUAACUUGCCAUCAGCUUUUGCCGGCGAGGAAAAGCCGGAAAACCCGGACAGAGCGCUAGGGCAGCCCACCGCUUACAGCAUGCGUCCAGCUUUUGGCGAGAUGUUUCCCCUGCCCACCAUAAAGCACAUCAUGAACACCGUGAUGGCCGAGAAGCUGAAGGACAAAACGUAUGACAAGGAUGUGGCCAAGACCUGGACGAGCGAGAUAGCCGAUGCGGUGAACCAGCAGAUAGCCACCAGUGCCAAGGUGAAGCGCUACAAGCACGUGGUUCAGGUGAUGAUCGGCCAGGAGCUGGGGGCCGGCGCCACCUACAAUUCGCGCUGCUGCUGGGACUGCGAUUGUGAUACCUCCGUUUCCGAGGUCUUUAGCAACACCAGUCUCUUCUGCGUGUGCACCGUGUUUGGCACUUACCAGUACUAGGACCAGGACGGGGGAACUGAUUAGGCUAAGGACAACCUCACUAGAUAUUUAUUAGCAAAAGGGUAUUCCAUCACUUUCGUCGCGACCUUGCCUCGUCGUCGUGCUUCAUUGGAUGCGCACGUUCAGCGGAUUCAGUAUGCGGCCCGACAUCACAGCCACGUCCAGGUCGCGAUCGAUGAUGAAAAACAGAAACGGGUGGUUCACGGAGAUCUGUAUGGGCUUC